CUCAUCAUUCUCAGUAAUAGGUGUUAUAUAACAAUUACUUUGGUUGUUGAGAUACUGAAUAUAAAUAGGGUUUGAUUGCAAAACUUCCGCGAACGAAGUCGCGAGUAACAGCUAGUUUUCUCCUAGACCUCGGGCUAUUAACAAUAUAAGGGUGCGAUUAUGCAGAUGUGAGCGAACGAAUUUUCCCAGCCAGCGAAAAUAUGUGGCGAUAAGAGGAAACGACUCUCAGUUUCUCUCUCGCUUGUGUGGUCGUAAGGAACGAAAGCGAGAAACAAACAGCGUGAAACGUCAUCACCUCUUCUCGCCACAUAUUCUCGCUGGCUAGCGUCUGCAUAGUGCUGAAUGGUCAAGACGUUCAAGUAAUCACUCUACUGCUCUGAAGGACCCAAAAUCCAAUUCGGACUGUCGGAAAAUUCAUAAAACUAUUGACUGAAAUAUGGUGAAAGAAUUUAAAGAAUUUUCUUCAUACUUCUGUCGUUAACGACUGAAUCAAGUUCUCAAAUUAAAAGUACAAAAAAAUUUUAAGCGUAACAAAUGAACUGAACAAUUGACCGUUGUUGGUUUGCUCUUAUUGUUGUAAAGAGUGCGAUUUUCGAGUCUUGGAAAAUAAAUUUCGAUUUUGCUGGGUAUCGUCCUUUGGAUGAUCCCUUCAGGGAGAGUUUGGAUCUGCACGGAUUCGUCAAUCCAAACAAUAUGGAUCAUUUUAGAUUCCGUGCAAAGAAGAACAAAGGCCUCCUACAGCAGGUUAAAUCAAUAGAAAGUACUUCUAAGUGCUCUAAUAUAUUUGACAAUCACAUCGAUCUUGCUUGUAAAGAGGUCUUGGAUAAGGUUCGAUCUUUGUAUGAAAAAACCUGCGAUCGUUUGAAGAGUUCCGUUUAUUUUCACAUGAUAUAAAUUUAAGAAGAGAAUGGGUAACCAACAUUAUAUGCAGUGUAUACAUCCAGCUAGAUAAAUAACUUUGCCAUCACUAGACACACAAGUCAAUACAGAAUAAUUACUGGCAGAUAGGGUUUGUGAUGCCUCUAUAUUUGUCUUAAGGAUACAAAUGUUUUGACAAUUUAUUAAUUAAAAUUUAUUUACUUUACCACUUGAAAAAAAAUUAUAAGAGUCAAGACUCGUAUAGUUGAACAUUUCUUGAUAUUAAAGGUAAAGCGUGUGAUUAUGAUAUUCAAAUAUAGCAGGAUAUUUCAAAGGUGGCCAUUCUCUCGUGUCAUUAUUCCAUGAUUUUAUAGUACUAAUGUGUGAAAACGACUGUUUAUCUGAAAACAAAUGAAAAAAACA